GUGCUCGCUUUGGCAGCACAUAUACUAAAAUUGGAACGAUACAGAGAAGAUUAGCAUGGCCCCUGCACAAGGAUGAUAUGCAAAUCCGUGAAGUGUUCCAUAUUUUU
rnacentral:snRNA from 1 species